rnacentral:rRNA from 1 species
CCUACGGGAGGCUGCAGUGAGGAAUAUUGGUCAAUGGACGAGAGUCUGAACCAGCCAAGUAGCGUGAAGGAUGACUGCCCUAUGGGUUGUAAACUUCUUUUAUAUGGGAAUAAAAUGUUCCACGUGUGGGAUUUUGUAUGUACCAUAUGAAUAAGGAUCGGCUAACUCCGUGCCAGCAGCCGCGGUAAUACGGAGGAUCCGAGCGUUAUCCGGAUUUAUUGGGUUUAAAGGGAGCGUAGGUGGAUUGUUAAGUCAGUUGUGAAAGUUUGCGGCUCAACCGUAAAAUUGCAGUUGAAACUGGCAGUCUUGAGUACAGUAGAGGUGGGCGGAAUUCGUGGUGUAGCGGUGAAAUGCUUAGAUAUCACGAAGAACUCCGAUUGCGAAGGCAGUUCACUGGACUGCAACUGACAGUGAGGCUCGAAAGUGUGGGUAUCAAACAGGAUUAGAUACCCGAGUAGUC